rnacentral:rRNA from 1 species
GACAGAGGGUGCAAACGUUGCUCGGAAUCACUGGGCGUAAAGGGCGUGUAGGCGGGAGGAUAAGUCGGACGUGAAAUCCCCAGGCUCAACCUGGGAACUGCGCUCGAAACUGCCCUUCUUGAGUGCCGGAGAGGAAAGCGGAAUUCCUGGUGUAGAGGUGAAAUUCGUAGAUAUCAGGAGGAACACCAGUGGCGAAGGCGGCUUUCUGGACGGUAACUGACGCUGAGACGCGAAAGCGUGGGGAGCAAACAGG